GACGAACGCUGGCGGCGCGCUUAACACAUGCAAGUCGAGCGAGAACCAGGGCUUCGGCCCUGGGGACAGCGGCGAACGGGUGAGUAACACGCGGAUAACCUGCCCUCGGCACCGGGAUAGCCCGGGGAAACUCGGAUUAAUACCGGAUGGCCCUUCCGGCUCUCGAGCCGGUCGGAAAAGGUAGCUUCGGCCUCCGGCCGAGGAUGGGUCCGCGGCGGAUUAGCUUGUUGGUGGGGUAACGGCCUACCAAGGCUCCGAUGCGUAGCUGGUCUGAGAGGACGAUCAGCCACACUGGGACUGAGACACGGCCCAGACUCCUACGGGAGGCAGCAGUGGGGAAUUUUGGACAAUGGGCGCAAGCCUGAUCCAGCCAUGCCGCGUGCGGGAAGAAGGCCUUCGGGUUGUAAACCGCUUUUGUCAGGGAAGAAAUCCUCUGGGCUAAUACCUCGAGGGGAUGACGGUACCUGAAGAAUAAGCACCGGCUAACUACGUGCCAGCAGCCGCGGUAACAC
rnacentral:rRNA from 1 species